rnacentral:tRNA from 2 species
GGGCGCGUAGCUCAGUGGGAGAGCACCGUCUUCACACGGCGGGGGUCGCUGGUUCAAUCCCAGCCGCGCCCACCA